UACGUAGGGUGCAAGCGUUAAUCGGAAUUACUGGGCGUAAAGCGUGCGCAGGCGGUUAUGUAAGACAGAUGUGAAAUGCCCGGGCUUAACCUGGGAACUGCAUUUGUGACUGCAUGGCUAGAGUUUGGCAGAGGGGGGUAGAAUUCCACGUGUAGCAGUGAAAUGCGUAGAUAUGUGGAGGAACACCGAUGGCGAAGGCGGCUCACUGGCCCGAUACUGACGCUGAGGCACGAAAGCGUGGGGAGCAAACAGG
rnacentral:rRNA from 1 species